CCUACGGGUGGCAGCAGUGGGGAAUAUUGCGCAAUGGGCGAAAGCCUGACGCAGCGACGCCGCGUGAGGGAUGAAGGCUCUCGGAUUGUAAACCUCUGUCAGAAGGGAAGAAAAUAUAGCAUGCUAAUCAGUGGUGUAUUGACGGUACCUUCAAAGGAAGCACCGGCUAACUCCGUGCCAGCAGCCGCGGUAAUACGGAGGGUGCGAGCGUUAAUGGGAAUUACUGGGCGUAAAGGGAGCGUAGGCGGUAGGACAAGUCAAGGGUGAAAGGCGCCGGCUCAACCGUGGAACUGCCUUUGAAACUGUUAAACUGGAGUAUGUGAGAGGGCGGUGGAAUUCCUGGUGUAGGGGUGAAAUCCGUAGAUAUCAGGAGGAACAUCAGUGGCGAAGGCGGCCGACUG
rnacentral:rRNA from 1 species